rnacentral:rRNA from 1 species
GAUGAACGCUGGCGGCGUGCCUAAUACAUGCAAGUCGAGCGAACAGACGAGGAGCUUGCUCCUCUGACGUUAGCGGCGGACGGGUGAGUAACACGUGGAUAACCUACCUAUAAGACUGGGAUAACUUCGGGAAACCGGAGCUAAUACCGGAUAAUAUAUUGAACCGCAUGGUUCAAUAGUGAAAGACGGUUUUGCUGUCACUUAUAGAUGGAUCCGCGCCGCAUUAGCUAGUUGGUAAGGUAACGGCUUACCAAGGCAACGAUGCGUAGCCGACCUGAGAGGGUGAUCGGCCACACUGGAGCUGAAGCACGAUCCAGACUCCUACGGGAGGCAGAAGUAGGGAAUCUUCCGCAAUGGGCGAAAGCCUGACGGAGCAACGCCGCGUGAGUGAUGAAGGUCUUCGGAUCGUAAAACUCUGUUAUUAGGGAAGAACAAAUGUGUAAGUAACUAUGCACGUCUUGACGGUACCUAAUCAGAAAGCCACGGCUAACUACGUG